GUGAAUCAUCGAAUCUUUGAACGCAAAUUGCACUCUCCGGUUUUCCGGGAGAGUAUGCCUGUUUGAGGGUCAGCCUAAAAAAAAUCGACAUUGUUGCUGUUAUUUAAUGGUGACUUUCGUCGGAGAUUGGGUUAUCUUAAACCUUUUUUUUUUUUUUUUUUGUUUUAAGGGCUUAAAAAUUUUUUUUCAGGAUUCCUUGAAUGUUUU
rnacentral:misc_RNA from 1 species